rnacentral:rRNA from 1 species
UGCCAGCAGCCGCGGUAAUACGUAUGGUGCAAGCGUUAUCCGGAAUCACUGGGUUUAAAGGGUGCGCAGGCGGAACUUUAAGUCAGUGGUGAAAUCUUGCCGCUUAACGGUAAAAUUGCCAUUGAAACUGAAGUUCUUGAAUGUAGUUGAGGUAGGCGGAAUGUGUUGUGUAGCGGUGAAAUGCAUAGAUAUGACACAGAACGCCAAUUGCGAAGGCAGCUUACCAAGCUACGAUUGACGCUGAGGCACGAAAGCGUGGGGAGCGAACAGGAUUAGAUA